rnacentral:rRNA from 1 species
GACGAACGCUGGCGGCGUGCUUAACACAUGCAAGUCGUACGGUAAGGCCCUUUCGGGGGUACACGAGUGGCGAACGGGUGAGUAACACGUGAGUAACCUGCCCACAACUUUGGGAUAACGCUAGGAAACUGGUGCUAAUACUGGAUAUGUGCUCCUGCUGCAUGGUGGGGGUUGGAAAGCUCCGGCGGUUGUGGAUGGACUCGCGGCCUAUCAGCUUGUUGGUGGGGUAGUGGCCUACCAAGGCGGCGACGGGUAGCCGGCCGGAGUGGGUGACCGGCCAAAUUGGGAUUGGGUUGCGGCCCGAGCUCCAGGGGGGGGCAACAGUGGGGAAGAUUGCACAAGGGGCGCAGGCCUGAGGAAGCACCUCCGGGGGCGGGAGUGCGGCCUUCGGGGUGUAAACCGCGUCCAACAGGGGAGAAGCUUUUUGUGACGGAACCUGCAGAAGAAGCACCGGCUAACUACGU